ACUCUGCGUAGGGGCCAGGCAGCCGCUCCGGAGGGCUCUGACUCUCUUCUAACUUCUGCAGCUCCGAACCGCCACGGGGCAAGGAGGGUUGAUCACAGGAGCUUUCCUGAAGCGCUUGUCACCCGGGGCGAGUUGGGGGCGUGGGGAAGGGACGGUAAUCUCACUCUUUAGGGCUCUGCAAAGCCCGCCUCCCGGUGGAGAGCGGAGCGCGCUUUGGCCCCUUUGCUUCCCUUCUCUUGACCUCAUUCUGCUUUUAUUCCAGGAGUCCGUGUCCUCGGCAAAGCCCCUCAUCUUUCCUGGGCCCUUGCCCAAAUGUUGCCGCCCUGAGUCCCGGCCCAACUCAGCACCGCGUCCGCCUCGUGCCUCCCAGGAGAUCCUCCGGGAAGCGAGGAGGAGGGGCGGCCGCAAAUUGGUUUUAUUCUGAGCUGUCACACAGUGACAAAUUGAACGAGUGACUUUUCAAACAAAAUAAGACGGAUGGCUCCAAACGUCUCUCUUAGACGCAGCCAAACCUUUCCCCGGAGCCUCAGAGGCUACAAAACAGGCUGCCUCCCGAAACCCGGGAGAGCGGCACGCGCUUCCAUCCUUUGCAGGAGGUUGUAGGAAAUGUUAGCCUCACCCCUCCACCACAUCUCCGGAUCACGUGGGGUUCGUUGUUUUGCAAGUGCCCACAAGAGCAGAUUUCCGUGGGGUUCAAUACUGCUUUCAAUUCUGUGACAGCUUCCCCAGGAACCCCUUGGGCCUGGUUGCAGGAGGAGCUGCGUGGUGGUCAACGUCUUCCAUUCGUGCCUUGGGUCUUUAGAACGCAGGGUAGUGGUGGUGGAGGUUUUGUGCAACAUCGACAUAUCUAUUUUAAGAAUUUCUUCUCUUUAAAUUAUAGUCAGAAUGAAUUUCCCCACCCCUCUCCCAAACAAACCACAGGCCACCCAGAUGAGCUGUUCUUGCACAUUUUCAGGAAGAAAAUAAAAUAAUACGAA
rnacentral:lncRNA from 1 species